rnacentral:rRNA from 1 species
CCUACGGGGGGCAGCAGUGGGGGAUAUUGCACAAUGGGGGAAACCCUGAUGCAGCGACGCCGCGUGGUCGAAGAAGUAUUUCGGUGUGUAAAGCUCUAUCAGCAGGGACGAAGAAAUGACGGUACCUGAGUAAGAAGCACCGGCUAAAUACGUGCCAGCAGCCGCGGUAAUACGUGUGGUGCAAGCGUGAUCCGGAUUUACUGGGGGUAAAGGGAGCGCAGGGGGCACGGCAAGCCUGAUGUGAAAGCCAGCGGCCCAACCGCGGGACUGCAUUGGGAACUGCCGGGCUUGAGUGCCGGAGAGGUAGGGGGAAUUCCUAGUGUAGCGGUGAAAUGCGUAGAUAUUAGGAGGAACACCAGUGGCGAAGGCGGCCUACUGGACGGUGACUGACGCUGAGGCUCGAAAGCGUGGGGAGCAAACAGGAUUAGAUACCCGUGUAGUC